AAUCCGAUCUAGAAUAUGACCUAA
rnacentral:siRNA from 1 species